rnacentral:rRNA from 1 species
AAACGACCCGGGGUUUAAAGUGUUGGGUGCAAUGCAUCCAUCUUUUGUGGAGACUAAAAAUCUCCGAGAAUAAGCCCUGGGCAAGACCGGUGCCAGCAGCCGCGGUAACACCGGCGGGCGAGUGGUGGCCACAAUUACUGGGUUUGAAGGGUUCGUAACCGGAAUGUUAAAUCCUGGUUAAAUCCGCCAGCUCAACUGGCGGGCUGCUUGGGAGACUGGCAUUCUUGGGACCGGGAGAGGGCAAGGAACUCCUUGGGUAGGGGCUAAAUCCUAUAAUCCAAGGAAGACCACCGGUAGCGAAGGCGCUUGCCUGGAACGGGUCCGACGGCGAGGAACGAAGCCCAAGGGAGUGAACGGGAUUAGAUACCCCGGUAAUCUUGGGUGUAAACGAUGUUGACUAGGUGUGGCUGUUACCAAGUGUGACUGCCGUGCCAAAGGGAAACCGCUAAGUCAACCACCUGGGGAGUAUAGCCGCAAGGCCGAAACUUAAAGGAAUUGGCGGGGGGGCACCACAAGGGGUGAAGCUUGCGGUUCAAUUGGAUUCAACGCCGGGAAACUCACCAGGGGCGACAGCAGAAUGAAGGUCAGGCUGAAGGCUUUACCAGACACGCUGAGAGGAGUUGCAUGGCCGCCGACAGCUCGUGUCGUGAGAUGUCCAGUUAAGUCUGGCAACGAGCGAGACCCAUGUUUUUAGUCGCAAUACGUUUCUUCGGAAGCGUAGCCACACUUAGAAAGACUGUCCUGACGAAAGGAGAGGAAGGAAUGGGCGACGGUAGGUCAGUAUGGCCCGAAUCCCUGGGCUACACGCGAGCUGCAAUGGGUGGCCAACGAGACGCAAUACCGAGAGGGAGAGCAAAUCCCCUAAACCCACCCUUAGUUCAGAUCGAGGCAAAACUCGCGGUCGUGAAGCUGAAUCCCCAUAAACGAC